GAGUUUGAUCCUGGCUCAGAGCGAACGCUGGCGGCAGGCCUAACACAUGCAAGUCGAGCGGCCGUAGCAAUACGGCAGCGGCAGACGGGAGAGUAACACGUGGGAACGCGCCCUUCGGUUCGGGAUAACCCAGGGAAACUUGGGCUAAUACCGGAUACGCCCUUACGGGGAAAGAUUUAUUGCCGAAGGAACGGCCCGCGUCCGAUUAGCUAGUUGGUGAGGUAAUGGCUCACCAAGGCGACGAUCGGUAGCUGGUCUGAGAGGAUGACCAGCCUCACUGGGACUGAGACACGGCCCAGACUCCUACGGGAGGCAGCAGUGGGGAAUAUUGGACAAUGGGCGCAAGCCUGAUCCAGCCAUGCCGCGUGGGUGAUGAAGGCCCUAGGGUUGUAAAGCCCUUUCAGCGGGGAAGAUAAUGACGGUACCCGCAGAAGAAGCCCCGGCUAACUUCGUGCCAGCAGCCGCGGUAAUACGUAGGCAGCAAGCGUUGUUCGGAAUUACUGGGCGUAAAGAGUGUGUAGGCGGUGCUCUAAGUCUGUUGUGAAAUCUCCCGGCUUAACUGGGAGGGUGCGGCGGAAACUAGUGUGCUAGAGGGUGGGAGAGGUAAGCGGAAUUCCUGGUGUAGCGGUGAAAUGCGUAGAUAUCAGGAGGAACACCUGUGGUGUAGACAGCUUACUGGACCACUUCUGACGCUGAGACACGAAAGCGUGGGUAGCAAACAGGAUUAGAUACCCUGGUAGUCCACGCCCUAAACGAUGCAUACUUGGUGUGAGCCAUUCAUUUGGUUCGUGCCGGAGCUAACGCGUUAAGUAUGCCGCCUGGGGAGUACGGCCGCAAGGCUAAAACUCAAAGGAAUUGACGGGGACCUGCACAAGCGGUGGAGCAUGUGGUUUAAUUCGACGGUAAGCGAGGAACCUUACCAAGGCUUGACAUGUACCUGCAUAUCGGAGAAAUUCGAUAGCCUUCGAGGGUGGUACACAGGUGAUGCACGGUAGUCGUCAGCUCGUGCCGUGAGGUGUUGACUUAAGUGUCAAAACGAGCGCAACCCCUGUUAUUUGUUACAAGUGUCAAAUAAGACUGCCGGCGUUUAAGCCGGAGGAAGGUGGGGAUGACGUCAUAUCAGCGUGUUCCUUACGCCUUGGGCGACACACGUGCUACAAUGGGAUGGAACAAAGGGACGCCAAACCGCAAGGUGGAGCAAAUCCCUUAAAACAUCCCCCAGUUCGGAUAGAGGGCUGCAACUCGCCCUCUUGAAGCCGGAAUCGCUAGUAACCGUAGAUCAGCCUCGCUACGGUGAAUACGUUCUCAGGUUUUGCACACAC
rnacentral:rRNA from 1 species